rnacentral:rRNA from 1 species
AGAAGUCGUAACAAGGUUUCCGUAGGUGAACCUGUGGAAGGAUCAUUA